rnacentral:lncRNA from 1 species
UCGCUGAAGUUCUUGAGGUCGCGUACCGAUUUGUCGUUGUUGACGUUCUUGAGGUCGGAUGCGGAUUUGCCGUUGUUGAAGUUCUUGAGGUCGCGUGGGGAUUGGCCGUUGUUGAAGUUCUUGAGGCAGCGGGUUGAGCCGGCGUUGCUGAUAUUCUUGCGCCCGCAGGCGAAACUGCCAUUGCUGGCGUUCUUGAUGCGGCAGAGGGAGACACCCUUGCUGACGAUCUUGAUGCCGCAGACGUAGCCGCCCUUGGUGAUGUUGUUGAGGCCACGAGCGGAGCCACCGUUGUUGGCGUUCUUGAGGUAGCCGCCGGCGUUGGUGUUCUUGAGGUAGCCGCCGGCGUUGGUGUUCUUGAGGUAGCCGCCGGCGUUGGUGUUCUUGAGGUAGCUGCCGGCGUUGGUGUUCUUGGGGUUGUGGGUGGACCCGCCGGUGACCUCGCCUUCUUCUGACCGAGAAACCUUCCUGGCAACAUGACAGGAUAUUGAUCUUCUUCUUCGAGAUGAGGUGAGGUGAGCUGAGUGGGGUGGAUAUGGUGUUUGGUUUUGCUCCGGUUGAGUCGAGGGAGCCCGCAUCCAUGGUAAUGUAUAUAUAGGAGAAGAAUGGUGUGUUGACGUGUUCAACCGCUCUGUCUCUUUUGUUUUGUUGAGUAUGUAUUAGAUAUUUUUUUUUUAGAAAAGGAGGCUUCCCCCGGCCUCUGCAUCGAGUGAUGCAUACAGCCAUUUAUUUAAUAACCGAAAAGAUCUGAAGUUGGUACAAAGUCGAAAGAAAAAGGAAAAAUAAAUUACAAGGCGAUCAACGCCCAAGCCAAAAAGAUGGAUAGGAGUAGCUGACUAAAUCCCUAUUCUAUCAGCAUGCCGCCAUCCAUAUCGGCUGAAGAUAGCCUGAGCUACCAUCUUCCAUCGGGCACACCCAGUAACCAAAGGCUCCCUGGUUUCCACAGGAGUGAGUAAGGACCACAUGCGAAUCCAGUCGGUAGCUCCGAAGAUGACCUGCAAAAGGUGAAUAGAUUGUUGUCUGUUAAAAACUAGGUCAUUUCUGCAGUUCCAUAUAGCCCAUAGAAGUGCAGAAGUUCCAACUCGGAUUAGCUUAGCGAACGAUAUAUUAACCCCGUCAAGCCAUGUCCCAAAUAACAUGUUAAUGCUAGUAGGUGGGAUAAUGUUAAAAGCAAUAUGGAUUGAGCGCCAUAAUAUUUUAGCCAUGGGGCAGUCCAGAAAGAGGUGCUUGAUAGUUUCAUAUGCCUGACAGAAGCUACAUCUCCGAUUUCCUUUCCAAUUUCGCUUGGCCAAGUUAUCCUUAGUUAAAACAACUCCUUUGUGGACAAACCACAAAAAGAUUUUUAACUUAAGGGGAACCUUAACGUUCCAAAUAUGUGAAGAUUUUGGAAUAAGUGAACUAUCAAUAACAUGGUCAUACAUUGAUUUCACGGAGAACGUACCAUUGGAGGUCAGUUUCCAAACAAUCCUAUCCGGGUCAUCACAAAGACUAACAUCCAUCAGCCUUCUGACUAGAUGUAACCAUCUGGCCCAUCUAGUACCUAUCAAGGAUCUGCGAAACUGAAUGUUGAGAGGCGUCUCAUGUAACACUGCCGCAACAGUCGCCUGCCUGCGCUGGGCAAUGUUAUACAGCUGCGGAUAUUGAAGGGCCAGGGGCUCGUCACCUAGCCAGAUAUCCUCCCAGAAUCUAGUAGAUUCACCAUUGCCGAUGAUGAAUUUAGUCCUGUUAAAAAAAGUUGUUUUUGUCUUCAUGAGACCCUUCCAAAAAGGUGAAUCUCCAGGUCUCACAGUGACCUGAGCUAAGGUUUUUUGCUGUAGAUACUUGUUCUUCAGAAUUUGUAUCCACAUACCUUCUGAUUCCACAGAUAGUCUGAAAAGCCACUUGCUGAGCAGACACCUGUUUUUAACCUCUAAGUUUUCAAUCCCCAACCCUCCCUGAUCUUUGGGCCUACAAAUAAUAUCCCAUCUAGCCAGCCUAUAUUUGGUCUUGACCUCAUCACUCUGCCAGAAAAAUCUUGAUCGGUAAAAAUCCAGCCUUUUUCGUACCCCUACUGGUACUUCAAAAAAGGAUAGAAGGAACAUUGGCAUACUUGUCAAUACUGAAUUAACUAAAACCAAUCGUCCUCCGUAGGAUAAUAGCUUGCCCUUCCAGCAGCUCAGUUUUUUUCAAACCGAUCCUCGAUGCACUUCCAUUCUUUAAUAGAUAAUUUUCGGUGAUGAAUAGGGAUUCCUAAGUACGUAAAUGGUAACGUACCACCCUCGCAACCAAAAAGUUGGUUAUAAGUGAGUUGUUCAUCUUUCGCUUCCCCAAAGCAAAAGAGUUCACUUUUAAAGAAGUUAAUUUUCAGCCCAGAUAGCUGUUCGAAUAAGCAUAAUAUUAACUUCAUGUUUGUGGCUUUUUUGAGAUCAUGUUCCAUGAAAAGGAUUGUGUCAUCCGCAUAUUGUAGGAUGGAGACACCCCCAUCGACUAGAUGUGGCACUAGUCCCCCUACUAACCCUUUAUCAUUAGCCCUCCUGAUCACUAGCGCUAACAUAUCUGCUACGAUGUUAAAUAAAAGGGGUGACAUAGGGUCUCCCUGCCUGAGACCCUUUAGUGUCUGAAAGAAAUGACCUACAUCAUCAUUCACUUUAAUACCGACACUACCCUUUUGUAUAAAACGAUCUAUAUGUUUUUGCCAAAUCUCGCAAAACCCCUUCAUACGUAGAGUUUGUUGCAAGAAAGACCAUUUGACUUUAUCGUACGCCUUUUCGAAGUCUACCUUAAAUAAAACUCCGUUAAGCUUCUUGGAAUGUAAUUCGUGAAGGGUUUCAUGGAGAACAACCACCCCUUCAAGAAUAUUCCGACCAAGCAUGAAGGCCGUCUGCGAAGAUUGCACCACAGAAUGUGCCAUCUUAGUUAACCUAUCUGUUCCCACCUCUGUGAAAAUUUUGAAGCUAACAUUAAGCAGACAUAUGGGACGAAAUUGUUCAAUACGCGAAGCACCCUCUUUGUUUGGUAGCAACGUUAUCGUACCAAAAUUAAGAUGAAAGAGUUGUAAGUGCCCGGAGAACAAAUCGUGAAACAUUGCCAUGAGAUAUUUCUUAAUAAUAUGCCAACAUCUCUUACAGAACUCAGCUGGGAACCCAUCCGGUCCCGGCGCUUUACCGUUUUUCAUAGCCUGAAUCGCCUGGAGCACCUCUUUCUCUAGAAAAGGAGCGGAUAGACACUCAUUAUCGGCUUGUCCAAUCUGAGGAAUAUCCGCGGUUUGAUGCUCGUCCAUAGACACAUAACUAUGAGACGGAGCACCAAACAACCUUUUAUAAUAGUUUGAGAUGUACAACUUUAGAUUCUCAUGACCUACUAUUGUACCCUCAUCUUGCUCAAGUUGUAUAAUCCUCUUUUUCCGAUGCUUGCCAUUUGCAAUCAAAUGGAAAAACUUAGUGUUGUCAUCACCCUGGACCAUUGCCCUAACAUUGCUCUGACAGCCCAUUUCAUUUCCUCUUCUCAAAGAAGGAUUCGAGCUCUUUGUUCAGCCUUGUACUUUAACGCCCUCUCUUGAUCAUCCAGCAUACGAGUUUCUGCCUGACGAUCUCGAUUAUCUAUAAGUUUGAGCAGUCUGUCUUGCUCAUCUCGAUAAGCUCCAGAUAUAUUCUUAGCCCAACCUCUCAAGAAUUGUCUAAGAUGUCGUAUUUUAUUUUGCCAGACAUCCACACUAGAGUUCCCACCCGCAUACUUAUUCCAUUCCAUAGAAAUCAUGUCCACAAACCCCUCACGUGUGAACCAGCUUGAUUCAAAAGAGAAAGCAUCAUUCCUCCCUUUGUGAGUGGCUUGGCCAGAAUCUAGUAAGAGAGGGGUGUGGUCAGAUAUAGCUCUUUGAAGUGCACAUACUGUGACUAGCGGGAAUUUCUGUUCCCAGUCAACACUCGUAAGUACCCUAUCCAACUUUUCAAAAGUUUGAGUAGGUAGAGAGUUGGCCCAAGUAUAUUUCCUACCAGAGAGAUCAAUCUCCCGUAAGUUGAGACUCUCUAUGAUUGUGUUGAACAUAAAAGGCCAUCUGCCAUCAAAGUUAUCAUUGUUCUUCUCAUCAGCUCUCCUGAUGAUGUUAAAAUCACCACCUACCACUAGUGGUAAAGUUUCAUCGCAAAUUCGAACCAAAUCAGCCAGAAAAGCUGGCUUUUGCUCUGCUUGUGUGGCCCCAUAAACCGCAACCAGAGCCCAUUGGAAUCCAUCUUCCUUGGUUCUAAUUCGAAAUUUGACUGAGAACUCCCCUAGCACCACUUCCCGAACUUGAAGUGUAUGACACCGGACUCCAAGUAAGAUCCCUCCGGACCUUCCUCUUGGAGGGAGACAAUGCCAAUCGAAUUCAACACCUCCCGAAAGAGUGUUUAGAAAUUGCGAUGUGAAAUUGUCCCGACCCGUCUCCAUCAACGCGAUGAAGUCAAGACUAUGAUGUAUCGUAGUUUCUGCAAGGAACCGAAUUUUAGCCAAGUCUCUCAGACCUCUGCUAUUCCAAAACAUUCCUUUCAUAUUUCAUCGUGGAAUUUUUUAGCAGUCUUGAAUCUAGCACUCCUAUGAAUUGCAGAGACAGUAUAAACUCUCUUUUUAUAAGUGCGUUUUGGCUUUUCAGAAACAUACUCCUGGUCCAUAUAACCAGUCGUAUUUUCGGGACCCUCAUUUGGUGUAGGUUUUGAUUGCUGAUUGAUGUGUAAAACCUCCUGAGACACCUCUCUAUCCUCAGGUGAGACUAAAUUAUCACAGAAUAAAUUCAAACCUCCCAUGUUAGAUAUUGCGUCAUCAUUCAUAGGUUUAAUGGCAGCUAGGGUUCGAAUAAUAUCCAAAGGCCUAUCAACUUCUAAGUCCAACAAGUCAUUAAUAGAUUUGGAAAUUUCUUUGCUAUUGCUACCCAAAUUGACUCCCACAGCUGUGGCAUUAUCUAUAAUAUCUUGCGGGGGAAAAUGAAGAAUAGAAUGCUCAGUAUUGAUGGACAUACCUGUCGAAUUCUGAACAUCCUUCAUUCUAGCCGCCCUCAUAGCACGCCCAAUCUGCAAGUCAUCCACGUCUGGCUGGGCUUGUACCCGAUGACUGGUCCUUCUAUCUGGACCCAUCGGAUCUGGAACUCCACCAAAAGCUAUGACUUCAUCAACUGAGAUCUCAACAGGCUGGGCUGCCAAAACUGUAGGAGUAUCAUCACCCUCUCCCAGUGACUGACGAAACGUCCCAGUAAGUUCAUCCUCGGAGGCCAAGCUCGCCUCUCCAUUCUCUGCAUCCUCUAAUUCAGCUCCCAGGUCGCCUCUAGAAAUCGGCGCUAACUGGAGCAUGCAAGCAUGCGCGUCACCCUGCGCUUGGCAAUCGGCCGCCGCCGUGUAGCCUGCAUCAGCAGCUAUGCGAUCAGCCGCAUGUUGAACAUGCCCAGCCGUGCACGACACCUCGUGCUCUUGUGCAUCCCCACCCCUGCAAGUACCAUCUUCCAUCAUCGCAGUAACAAGAGGAGACAGAGGUGGUGCAGGUGCAGCGCCAAACGCCGGAGUGGGAACCUCCCCAGCUCCUUGCUCUCUGACAGUAGCAUCUCCAACUACACUUACACUCCGCUCUGGAUCAACCUCCUUAUCUGACUGCAUAAUCUUAGGUGGGUUACUAACAAGCUUUGCAUCAGCGAGAUAUGCCUCCAACGAAACCGGUUGCAACGUAUUAGUAGACUGCAGAAUACCUAUGUUGCCCCGAGGAGACUUUCCUGUGAACCUGGGAAGUCUUGAAGGCGUGUGCAUGGGCCGACCAACUUUUGCCGACGCAGAUGCAGGUUUAAAAGAUCCGAACCGCAACUCCAGAUGAGAAGCAGAAACCCCGUGUUUAGUACCCGUGCCUGAGGUUUGCAUCCCCUGAGUGGGUUGAGCAUUCUUCUGAGAUGAAAAAGUGGGCCCUGACUCAAAAGGAGUGUCACUCUCCUUGGCACCAUCUGCAUCAUCUCCAUCGGUCAUAUUGGUAUCUUUAUCUUGAACUGGUGAAUCAAAAAGAGUGGGGCUCUCUAUUUCCAAUUGGAGAGUGUACCGCAUCCCCUCAAAAGUCCACAUGACCUGAUCUGGAAUGAUUUGAAUAUCCAGCACACUCACAAGCAUCCUCGCGAUGCCUUUGGCUCUAGUGAACACCAUAUCCACCUCCUCCGUUUUACCAAUUAGCGAACCCAAACUCCAUACCACUCUAAAGUCAUUCAUCGCCCUGGUAGGAGCACCUGCAAAGUGGACCCAAAUCUGAGGUAGAGGAACGCCCUUUGGCUCCUCACACUUCCAGGCAUCAAACUCAAGUACGCAACUUGUGCUAGCCACUCUGCACAUACCGAACUUAAGCAAGCGAGCCAAGUCCUCCUUAGUAGGAAAAACGACCUUAAAGACAUUAUCUGAUAUCAAAACCGGUUCCCACCGGAAAGUGGAUGAUACAAGUUCCUUAAGCUGUUGCACCACCUGCUCCAUGGUUAAGACUCCCCGAGUCACCGUCACCGUGCCCGUGAAACCAGCAUCUGGUGUGUGAAGUGUUGCCGUUGCCGCCGGCGACUCGAAAAACAUUAACUCUUGACUAGAAACACCAUAGAUGGUUACCACCGGCAAACUCUGAACCGUAAGGGGACACUUAGCCUCACCAUGCGUCGGCUUAAGACAAUUCACACAAAGCUCAGCCUUGCACUCGGACACAAAGUGCCCCGCCUCACUGCAACGAUAGCACACCAUCUUCUCUUUCUUGCGCGCCCACUUGGAGGGCCGAUCACCUCCCUCGCCUUUUGCUACCGCAGGAGCCUGUUUAGGGACUACUGGAUCAGCCGCCACCUUCUCAGGAAUAAUCUCCUUAGCCGCGUCAUCCGCCGGCGGUUCUUGAGCAGGCAAAGGAGGCCUAGGCUUCCUACCUCCACCUUUGCCCGCCCAAUUGUGUCGAAAGCCCCCUCUCUUGUGAUAAGAAGGACCCGACGUCCCCGGCACAAAAUUCCCCGGCGGUGCAGUAAAAGGCUUGUUCUGUCCAUUAUUCAAAGUUGCAUGCCCACGGCCGCCACCAUAGGAUGAUGACCCGCGAAAUUGACCGUCCCCAUACGAGCUACCGCCGUCACAGCCCCAACGGCCGCGCUGCUGCAUGUGCUGAUCCCCAUGCUCCCCUGCCUGACCGGGAGGCACAGGCUGCCGUCCUGUCUGAGUAGCUGCUGGUGUACGUGCCAUCUGCGUUGCAGCAGGUUUUGCAAUGGGGGGCGAUCCCCUUGCCCAGAGGGUCGAGGCUGCGCAGCCGGCGGUGGCCUGGGAGUGCCCCUGCCUGCCAUCGCGACAGAAGGAGGAGGCGGCACUCAUGCAGCGCGUCCCAGACCCAGCGACGGAAAGCCAGGCUGUAAUCACCGAGGAACCCUAGGCUCAGGCGUUGCCGUGCAUGCGAAACUCCCCUGAUGCGAGACGCCGAAACCAGCCGCUGGGACGGAGAUAUCUGUCGUUGGCGUAGGUAACGCCUGGGCCAUAUACCCAGGGCUUACGCUGUCCGACAUGGACUCUAUGUUAGGGAUUUCUUCUUGGGCCAUAUACCCAAUAGCGUUGUCAGAGAUAGAUUCCAAUACAGUGCUCGCAGCCUCCGAUGCCGAUUUCAAAAAAGCCUCCCUUUGGAAACGCAUCUCAAUCAGCGUGGAACCCGGCUUAAUCAACGCUGAUGCCGUAGGUUUCGGGCAUGCCAAGCUGUUCUUCUUCCUUCCCUUGGCUAGGCACCAUCCCGGCUCAGGGAAGAAAUCGGACAGCGGAAUCGGUUUCAGGUUCAUCGGUGGCAAGGGGCCGAUCCAUGGACGAACCUUAUGCGUCGGCACCUCCUUCUUCGAGCCCCUAGCCUGAGUUCUAACACGUCUGAUGGAACCCGGCUCCCAGCGAGGAACAUCAGCAAUAGCAGUUGAAAGAUCGAAUUCCUCGCAAUUAAUCUCUUCUACCUCGUCAUCAGAUUCUUGAUCUGCAAGAACCCAAAAACAGCCUCCAAACCGAGGUGAAUUAUCAGUACUCACCUUGCUUAUGCGAAGAUCCCCUUGAUGGCCCUCAAGAAAGUCCUUAACGAUGAGGGAGAAGCCAUCUAUCUCCAUAGUAUGCCCGAUCUUCGGAUAUUCCUCGUCUUGCAAGUAACGGCCUGCGAGAAUAUCGUUAUCUUCGUCACGAAUGGUGAUCCAGCGAGAUACCUGAUGAAGUUUGAUGGCUCCUGAUCUCUGCACACGCUCCUCGAAGGAGGUGUCGACGAAGGACACCGUCCAGGUCCCAUGCGAGUCCCUGCUGUCCGCCGGUGGCCGGAGAUGAGUCUCCGGUCUGCCCUCCGAGGGACAAGGAGAGAGCCCCGUCGGUCGCCCCCGAGACCGCCCCUCCUAGCGCCUCGGUCGUCAUCUCCCCCUUGCUCGGCCUCAUGUCAUGGUGAUCGGCGGAGUACUCCCCCGAACGGGCCGCGUCCCACUCGAACGGCCCGCCGCCCUCUCCUUUGCGCCUCGAUCUGCUGCGCCCGACGCGGCCCUGGAGCCCGGAGUCGGACAGUGCGGCAGCGGCGGCGACGGGGCAGCUGCUCAUCCACCGCGAGGGGUGGGGCNGUAGGACGGGGGGAGGGAGUCAGAUUUAAAUCAUAAUCUUUAAAAUGGGAGAGAUUUUUACUUCCCGGCCUCUGCACCAACAAGGGAUGCAUAGGGUCAUUUUAGUAUGAGUACCAAGAUAAACAUGGUCCUCGGAAUUUUUUUUAAAUGAGUAUCAAGAUUUUUUUGAUGAGUGGUUUUACCACACGCCAAACUUGAUCCUCAAUAAAUGGGAGAAAACUCCCUGUGCAUCACCUGUCAAUUUUAGGAAUUGAACUCGGAUAGUUGGGCUGCACAACGCAUGCCCAACCACUGAGCCAAGGCUCUCUUUGCGUAUGUAUUAGAUAUGCAUAUUUCAAUUAAUGCAUAAGUUAUUGACGGAUGGAUGGACUGACGGAUGGAUGGAUGCGGUUGGUCAAUGGUAUGGUCAUCGCCGCGUUGAUCUACAUUUCUUAUAGAUCAGAAUUAGUGUUAGGUGGAGGUUAGGAAGCAGAUGGAUAAUAGAGCAAGGAUAAAAUUAUAAUUACAUACAAAAUAAAAAAUGGUUUUGUUGGACUUCUUCUUCGAGAUGAGGUGAGGUGAGGUGAGUGGGGUGGAUAUGGUGUUUGCUUUGCUCCGGUUGGGGCGAGGUAAUGUAUAUAUAGGAGAAAAAUGGGACCGGUCAGUCUCUUUUGGUUUUGUUGGAUAUAUAUGUACUACCUCCGUUACAGUUUAGAAGGCACACACGUGUACCUAGAUCGUCAAUUUAAUUUAUAUAAAAUUUAUUAUUUAAUAUAAAAAAUAUAUCAUUAGAAAAUAGAAUAAUUAAAUUUUUUAAUGAUAUAUUUUUGAUAAUAUAUGUUUAUCAUUAAGUUGAUCAAAUUGAUGACGUAGAUACAUGUGUCGAACUUAUAAACUAAGAUUAAAAAGAAUAGUAGAUAUGCAUAUUCCAAUGCAUGCAUUACUUAUUGAUGGACGAAUGGAGUGACCGAUUGAUGGAAGUCGGUUGGUCAAUGCUGAUGGUCGUCGCCGCGUUGGUCUACAUUUUCUUAUACGUCAGAAUUAGUGUUAGGUGGAGGUUAGGAAGCAGAUGGAUAAUAGAGCAAGGAUAAAAUGUAUAAUUACAUACUUUCUUCAUCUUAAAAUAAAUGUUUUAAAUUUAAUAUAAUUUUAUAUUAAAACUAAUAUAAAGUUAAGACAAUUAUUUUAGGAUGAAAGAAGUACAAAAUUAUAAAAGAACAUGCACAUUGUGGUGUGGCGAUCCAUCUGCACAUUGAACCAACAACUCAUCCCACACGGUUUCAAGGCUUUGUCGAUGAUCUGUCCUGACUCAAAAUAGUAGUCAUGUACUUUCUGUGUAAACUAAUAUUACAGCAUUUAUAUCAUUAUUUUAAUGAUCUAUAUGCUCUCAUAUUAGUUUACGGAAUAAGGAAUAGUGAGACUCACGAAAACAAAAACUUUCAAACUAACUAGGACACGAACUAUCCAAUUUACACUGAGGAUGCUAAUUAACUAUCUCAAUUGAAAUGUGUCAUUACUACAUUAGCACAAACUUAUUGCACAUUUUAGGCUAAGAACAGGAAAAAUGAAUCUAUAGUCCACAACCCCGUUUAUUUAUUAAAUAAGUCCAAAACUGAUUAGGGAGGAGAAAAAACCAUCUAUUUGGCUGCCGUCUUGCCAUACCUUGGAUUGCCCAUAAACUGAUAUUCUUUACAUGGGAUUUUUUAUAUUCUUGCUCAAGUUACGUUUAAUCAUUAGCUUUCUAACUAUCACGUGUUGCAUUGGCUGGGAUUUGAACAGAUGCCCUAACGACGGAGGAAGCGUGUUGCUAACUACUAGAAUGUUAAAUGAUUUGCGUACAAUGAUGCAAAGGAUAUUACUGUAUAUGUUACCAUACUUUCUUUGAGCUGCUGAAUGGCCUUUAUAUUGUAAUUGGAGGAAAACCAAUUACUACUAUUACUCCCUCCGUUCCUAAGUCUUUUUAGAAUUUUCAUCAAGGGACUAUAUACGGAUGUAUAUAAACAUAUUUUAGUAUAUGGAUACAUUCAUUUUGCUUCGUAUAUAGUUUUUCAAUGAAAUCUUUAAAAAGACUUAUGUUUAGAAAAGAAGGAAGUAUACAGUGGCAGCUAGCUACUGUGGCAGUCAUUGCAUGUACACACGCUUCUUGUCUUAGGUAUACAUACAAAUACAAUUCCUGUGUACGAGGCCACAUCUCGUGUAAAUCUUCUUGUGCGGCAAAAACAAGCAGCAUAUGAUCAGAUGGGAUGCAUGAUGAUAUGAUCCGCGGCUGUAGGAUUGCCUACCAGGCCCGGGCCCACAGUGGUGCCACAUGUACAGCCCGCACAGGGUCCAUGAUUUUGAAGGGCCCCCCCCCCCCCCCCCAUAUAUAUAUAGUUGUAUUUAAUAAACGACUCGACGUCGUGCGGUCGUGGGCGACUGGGAGUCGUAGCUCGUCUCCGCGUGACGUGGGCGCCUCGAGCAGCUGGCCGCUGGGCGCGUGGGCCAGUGCGCCAGUGGGCCGUUGCCUGGAGCGACCUGGCCUGUGGCCUGUAGGUCAGGUGCGUACUGCGCAGGUCUCCCUCCGUCUACGAAACGUGAUGGCCAGGCCUGGUGAUGUGUUGAUCGCAUGAUGAUGUAAUCCCAUCGAUCUGUACUGCAUGUCUACAUCGAUCGACAGAUUCUAUAGACAUCCCCAACUCCCCAUCGAUCUGUAGACGAUACGCGCCGUCCACCUCGGAUCGCCAGCUAGAGCAGCUCGUCUCUGUUGUUGAUGCCGUGCGUGCACAUGUACGAGUAGCGCUUCCAUCUAUAUUUCGGUAAGAGAAGAAUAUCUCGUCGACUCGUCGCCUGCGUCGUUUGCAUCAUCACUGAUCACUUCAUCUGUUCAUCACGCAUCAGAUCGAUCCCGCGAUCCGAUUCAGGUCACCACCCAGACUCGUCGUCUCGUCGGAUCGAUCCCGGUUCAUCCGUGGAGGACCCAAAACUAGGUGAGUUAGACAGUUCGUGUAAGUGCCAAACAUUGAUGCAUGAUCUCCAAUUGAUAUAUGCUACUGUAUAACUUUAAUUUCAUUGUAUUCAUCUUUUUAAUAUUGUGUUUCAAUAAUAUAGAUUUGAGUCAUCAUGGAAAAACAACGGUCCGAUGCCUAUAAGCGCAAGAGAAAAGUGAAAGAACAAAAUUUAAUUAAUAAAUCUUAUAAAGGUUUCCCUUAUGAAGGAUAAACAAUCUGAUAUUGAUGCCAAUGAACUAUUUAUUGAGUUGAAGUUUCUUCAAAAUUUCAUGCCAAAAGAAAAUAUCGGACCUGUUGAAAUUCUGAAUUUUUUAAAGCGGCUUGAUUGUUUUCCCAAUGCAAGUAUUGCAUAUAGAGUUAUUUUGAUCAUUCCUGUGACAGUUGCAUCAGCAGAAAGAAGUUUUUUUAAAUUAAAACUAUUGAAGUCCUAUAUGCGUACAACUAUGACACAACAAAGACUCAAUGAUUUGGCCACAAUAGCACUUGAGAGUGAAGUCUUGGAGAAGAUUGAUUACCCGGAUAUCAUUGAAGAUUUUAUUUCAAAGAACGCUGCAAGAAUGAGGAUGUUCAAAUAAAUAGCAGUCGGGAGUUGCAUAGGUAUGACUUUUUUAUAUGUCCAAUUUUUAAUGUAAGAUAUUAUAUUAUAUAUAUUACAAUUUUUUUCUGCGAGACAUUAUACAUUAUAAAUGCUCGUUAGUUCAUAUUUUUGUGAGAUAGGGCCCCAUUUUUUCGUUCCGCAUAGGGCCCCGGAUUUUGCCGGCCCGCCCUGUUGCCUACGAGCUCAGUUCAAAUCAAAUGCAAGGAUUGCGUGCGAGCUCAUGCAUGCCAGCUCAGGUUUCCUCUCCAAGUGCAUACACAACAACUCAAAAUUCUAUUGGUCUAUAAUCUGCUUGCUUCUUCCUUAGAUUGUGGGUUCAAAAACGACUGAAAUCAUUUAGUAUUUACUAGCAAAAUGGCACGUGCGUUGCAACGGAAGAAAAAAACAUAAUCUUCAAUGAUGAUGACCACAUUAUGUUCACACAUCAUCGCUUGAUUUUGAAAUUUUGUGCACAACUACAAAAAAAUGUUUCUUCUUUUAAAUUUAUUCACAAGUUGAAGCAAUCUUUACAUUUUCAAAAAACAAAUAUCAUGGUUGUCAAAAAUCUUGGUAACUCAAAGAAUUAUUCUUAAUUUCAAAAAAAAAUUAGAAAACAUACAAUAAUAAUCCGAUCCAUCCAACAGUUAAUUCUUCAAAAAUCACACGGGUAUAUUUUCACAAAGACUUAGAAGGAUUAAUGUUUAACUUCAUACAUUAGAUCUUUCAUGAACAAUUUUACACAUAUGAGAACCAUUUUGAAAUCGAGAACAUUUUUUACAAUUUAAAAACAUUUACUAAAAAUCAGGAAUAUUUUUUAUAUUUCAAACGGGUUUAAAUAAUUUCUUUUGAAUUAGCGACCAAUUCUAGAAAAUACGAACAUAAUUUUUUAUGUUGGAGGAUUUUACUUUAAAUUCACAAAAAAAAUUGAAACACAUGAAGUUUUUCUGAAUAAAAAAACAUUUUUAUAAGUCGGUAAUAUAUUUAUUAAAUUCACGGACAUUGUUUUGGAAUUUGCCAAAAAAAUUAUAAAAAUACGGCGCCUUUUUUGAAUCCAUAAAUAUUUUAUGUUUUCGUCAACAUUUUAAUUCCAAAUUACUAUUUUUUAAUAUGCAAAUGCUUUUGUAAUUCUAAAUUAUUUAAAUUAGAAGUAAACAAAAAUGGAACGGAAAAAUUAAAAGAAAAAAAGAAACUAUCAAAACAGGUUAGCUAUUUUUAAAAUUUUAGGACAUUUUUAAAUGCAUUAACAUAUUUUGAAUUAGAAAGCAUUUUGUUAAAAAAAUUUAAUCAUUUUUAAUAUAUGGAGUUUGAUUUGUAAUCAUGGACUUUUCCUAUUUUACAAACAUUUUUUCAAACUUGCAAACAUUUUAUUGUAUAUGCGAGCAUUUUUAAUAAAAACUCCGAGCAGUUUUUGAAGUCACAAACAUUUUAUUUUUUAAAAUAUGUUGAUUUAAAAUUAUAAGUUUAUUAAAAGUUUAAAGGUUAUUUGAAGUUCUAAAUUAUUGAAAAUAGAAAAAUAAAAUGGAACUGAAGAUAAAUAAAUAAAGGGAACUAAAAAAACUGGCGCCUUUGCAUGGGCUGGCCCAUACAGUGUGCUGGAUAUUCAGCCAGGGUGCAGAGCGUAAUAUAGGAGGUUUUUACAUGGGCCGGGCCAGUCUGAGAUUUUUCGCUUUGUGAAACAUUUUCUAUCACUUACCGGUGGCAUGAUGGGUAAUUUAUGCAAACUUCAGAAGAAAUUUUCAAGACGUACCAAAGAAGCAAUAGGUGCUUUAUUAAUAUACUUGUACAAAUGCCCGUGCGUUGCAACGGGAUAUAUAAUUGAUGUGUAUUUAUAUUUAGAUAGAAUUAUAUGGUCAAAACAAAAUGAUAGUUCAUGUAAAACUUAAUGGUCACCAAAAUCUAUAGACCCAAAUAAUAACAAGUUAUAUAAUGAUUUCAAAUGGACUUCAAAUUUGUUGGAGCUAUAAUUCAACAUCAUAUUCUAAGUUAAAAUGUAAGUGGUUAUCUUCAAUCCAGGCUUGACAUAUAUUCCACGGCGCUUGGAGAGGUGGUAUUGCCGUGUGUUGGGUUGCUAAUGAGCACGAGUUGUCAUUGAUCCCUGCCGUUGUCACACAAUAUUGAACAAUUUCACAAAACAAAAAUCGUAGGUAGCAAACUCUAGAGGCCCUAAAAACAUGUGUUUCAAUUGUGAAAGGAUGAUGCAUUUGUCAUCAACUUUUAAGGAUAAGACAUAGAGACUUUAGUUCACUUAGUAGCAUGAGAUUAAUAUUAAUCAAAACCAUAAAUAAUGAGAUCAUAAGGCUGAUUGACAUAUUAUUAUUACUUAUCGUUUUGGAAGAAGAGAGUGGAUAUACUUGGGGCUCAUUGACUUUAGUUGACUAAGUAACAUGAGAUUUGCUUUUAUUAUUGGGCUUGUUGAGAAUGACAUGACAAUUUGUUGUUAGCGCCGCUCCAAAAGAACGUUUUUAUAAUGUUGUGUGCAUCCUCAACCGUCUAAUAUGCCGGCCAGAGCCUUUUUUAUUCCCUUGAAAAUGUCUAUUGUGUAAAAAAAAAGUAUUAACUACUUUGAAACGAUUAACAUGAUUAAUUAUUUUUGUAAUAUAUGAAUAUUUUAAAAAGUAUUUAAUCUGCUAAAAAAGUGUAGAGAAGUUAAACAAAGAAUGCGGACUGAAUUAUUACACUGCGUGAAACAUGUACUCAUUAGAAAAGGAAAAAAGCAUAGAAAAGUAAAAAAAAAAAAGCAAAGGGUUUCGAACCUGGGUCUUCAGGUUAGAAGAGCAAGGCUCUCUCCAUCCCGCUAGUGUUCGACAGUUGAUAUAGAAUGGCAUAGGUCGCUAUAAGGAAUACGCGCGGGACGGUGACUUAAGGAAAACUGAAUCGUUUUUUGACUUACGGGUGGCAUGGUGGGUAAUUUAUGCCAAUUUCAGGGGUAGUUUGAUCAAUGUUUGAAGUAUGUACUUCAGCUAUUAUUUAUAUUAGAACUUUGUACUUUCGCUACGAACAAAUAUUAUUUACGCGUGAUAUUCGAUUAUUCAUCUAUAUAAUUGUCGUGCAUGGCGAUGGCGGGACAAGGUGGUACGACGCGAGAUGUUCGACGGAGGGGCGGCCUUCCACGCCACGGCGGCAGCGGCCGCGCUAAGCCACCAACAGCAGCAGCACGCAUAGUAUGGCGACCCCCGGGGCGGCGCCGGAGGCUCGUUCUACGAGAGCUAGGCGGGCGGGUCGUCGGAGCCCGAGCCGCAGGGGACCUCCGCCCGCCCACGUGGGAGAGGCGGGGNCCGGCAGCAAGCGCACCCGCAUCGCAGAGGUGCACAACCUCUCCCAAAAGGUGCUGGCCAUCCGUCACGAACCCUUCUCCCCUGACUUCGCUCUACUUUUCUGCUCUUUUCCCUUGUGUUCCCCUUCACGUCAGGUAAUUGAGCUUCAAACUAAGACAUCGCUACCCAAUUCAGACUUGGUUGCGGCAAUGAUUGCCAAGUAGAGAUUAAAAUCGCAUGAUACCGACCGGCUUGAUUUUUUUCGAACCGGGCUUUACCCCUUUCCAUUAUUAAUGAAUGGAAAUAUAUAAGUUUCAAAAAAACACGGGGAGGGAAAGGAGAAAAUCAAGUUUGAUACAUCACGAAAGGAAACCCAUUGUAACCGCUCGACAUUGAAACGGCCACUAUAGGACUAAAACCUGGUGACACAUAGCUCAAACAAACUACCAGCUAACAGUUCAGAUAGGAACGAAACNNNNNNNNNNNNNNNNNNNNNNNNNNNNNNNNNNNNNNNNNNNNNNNNNNNNNNNNNNNNNNNNNNNNNNNNNNNNNNNNNNNNNNNNNNNNNNNNNNNNUAAUGUACCGUAUUUAGUAUUGUUCCCGCAAAUAUAUAUAUAUAUAUUUGCGGGAACAAUACUAAAUACGGUACAUUAUUAAACUCAUCAUGAAAUAUAUUCUAGAAAUAUAUGUUGACUGCAUAAGUAAAAUAAUAUAGGGCAUUUGCUCUAGUGGUAGGAUUCUCGCUUAGGCCUUAUUUGAUACUAGUGUUUUUAAGAAGAUUGGUGGGAUAAUCCCCCAAGGGAUUGGGUGAAACCCCAACCUUCACCCAAUCCCUUCAAAUCCCCAUUUAUCCCCAAUACACUAGGUAGGGGUAGUGUAUUGGGUAUUGAGAAAAAUGCACUAUACUUUUGAGAUUUGAGGGAAAAUGUGGGGAUGAAACAUGUCAAAUACACUAGAACCAAAUGAUGUUAUGGAAUGUGUGGGGAUUGAAGGGUUUGACCGGGAUAAUCCCCACAAAUUCCCUAAAAUACAAGAGUACCAAACAAGGUCUUAGGGUGUGAGAGGUCCCGAGUUCAAUUCUCGGAAUGCCCNNNNNNNNNNNNNNNNNNNNNNNNNNNNNNNNNNNNNNNNNNNNNNNNNNNNNAUAUAUAUAUAUAUCGCAUGAUCUCCCAUCCAUCCCUAGGCUCCAUCCCUGCUCGGUUUAGUUCAUGAAUCCGUGAAAACCGCCUGUCAAAGACAUGAUGAAACCAACGAAGCACUAUAAAGUACAGCUAGCUGUCAAGACAUGCUGCGCCUUAAAAAUCUAUUGAAAUCUGUGGAAAUGUCAGUUCUGCACAUAUUCCCCCAAAGCAUACUCUUGUAGCUUUCCUCACUGAACAAGAGCUACAUUCGUGGUGGUUGACAAAUGCUAGCAAGGCUGCUCAUCAGUUCAAUUUGUAACAUAAAAUACAGGGAAUACCUUGAAGGAAGAAGGAAGCUUACCCGAAAUUUCUCAACCUUGCGCACAAACUGCUCAAAGGAGUAAUGAGGAUCAAGCGAGAGUGCCAGUCUCUGUAAAACCUGAUGAGAUUGCCAGGGUCCUCCAACUAAAUAUUUUUGGUCAUAUGCAACAUUGACAAGCUAUAAUCACCCCUCUAAAUAUUUUAGACUUUUGAUGAUGCAAGAGAGGCAAUAAAUAACUGUAAAUUUCCAGGGCGCCUUGUUUACUUUGUCUUUUGUAGAUUUUAUUUAGUAUUUGAUUCGAUUGCACAUAGAAGAGAGCACAUAUCAAAUACUAGUAAAAAGUGGAUUUUCAGCUCCCGGGUGCCUAGGCACCCUCUAUGAACAGUAAAAUGAAAACAAAAUAAGAAAAAUCUGAAACUUUACAGCAUCAAAGAUGAUGAAAUUUUGUAGGUGUUUGUAAGUUUUCAUGCCAAAAAACUAUUCGAGGAGCUAUACACACGGAAAAUAUUUCAAUACUUGAAGUUUUGAGCACUUUUAGCGCUGUAAUCUGAAAUUUGUUUGUACAUCUUUCUCUACAUGAUAUUUUGACAUAAAAACUUAUAUAAACCUAAAGAGUUUGAUCAUCGUUGAUGCUGCAAAGUUUCAGAUUUUUUUGAUUUUUUUUAUUAUUUUACUGUUCAUAGAGGGUGUCUAGGCACCCGGAAGCUAUCACACCUUUCUCAAAAAGAAAACAGGGAUCAAAACCAUACAGAUGUAGCAGAACCGGGGUCGCCAUGGGAAUUGGGGGAUGGAGAAGGAAAAAAGGUUCAGGGUGGUGGUGGUACCGGUGGACUACAGUCUGCAUUGUGUCAAGCCCGUCAUCUCGGAAAAGUAGAGGGAAGAGAAUUGCCCAUUGCACAGGAUGACAAGUCUAUGGUCACGAUGCACGGUUUUGCUCUUUUCGCAACAUGGCGGGGCUAUGUUCGAGGCUGCUCUUGGGAAGAUGCAUCUCCUUGUGCAGUUGAAACUGCAUGGUUAUGUGAUACCUUCUAUUAGAAAUAAUGGGCCUAGCCCAUAUGUAGAAUUUUUGAAAUCUCAAAAUACUUGUCAUUGAGAGCCUCAAUCAAGAUAUUCAAAAUUGAGCAAAUUUGUUCUCUAGUGCCCAAUCUCAUAUUUGGACUAAGGCCUGUUUGGAUGGGAUCCUCACUCUACUACGCCUGGCCUGCAGUCUCCCGAAACCUGCCUGUUGUAAUGGGUAGUAUCAUAUACUAGUAUCAUGCAUAUGAUACUAGUGCAUGAUACCAUAUCCGUAAUGCAUAGUAUCAUAUGUUAGUAUCAUAGAGUGGUUUAUUUAUUGUCAUGAAAGACACAUAGUAGCACAUCAUUUAAUAUGAUACGGUAUCAUAAUAUGAUACUCAAUCCUCUCUUUCUUUAUUUAAUUCUAUGCCACCUCAUCAAAAUUGCUUAAUUGGCAUGCAUGAUACUACCUAUGAUACUCCCAUUACGGGCAGCCUCAGGAUUGUUUGGUUGCUGUCCAAAUGAACACGAAGCAGCCUGGCCUGCUGUUGCCAGUGCCUUGCUUAGCCUGGCACAUACCCCCAGGCAUGUUGGUUUGCGACAGGGCCUUAUACUCCUCCUGCCCAAGGAUGGCGGCAUGGGACGCUUUCUUCUAGUGGCGGCGAGGCACGGUGACGUGACGACACGGGCUGGCGGCGGUGGUUGCUGGUCGUACGUGGCGUCGGCCUCUCCUGGGCUGGUGGCGGGGUCUGGUGUAUGGUUCUCUGGUGGUGUCGCUGGUGCUUGCCGGCGGCCUCGCUGCUCGCGCGACGCGGGUGCUGGCAGGUCAGGCAGCGGCGGCCUGGAGCCUACUUUCAGUCCUCCGUGGAGAUGACGGCGAUCCGUACAUAAGACUUGAUGGAGGUUUUUCGAACAGAUCUAGGAUGCCAAGGCCGGUGAUGGCGGCACUCUUCUGUGUAUUCUCUUCUUGAAGACAUCAUCGUGGAGAAGUUCCAUGCCUCUUUUGUUAACUCCGAGGAAAACCCUAGAUUGGUAGAUCGAAGGACGGCGACGCUCUUGCGUCGUUUUCUCCUUGGGGCGUCAGUCUUGGAGGUGUGCAUGGGCUCGAGGGACCAGCAAACAUCGUCUUUUGUUGAUCAAUGUUUCAUCUUACGCAUCGACGACUGUGGAUCUCGACGGCGGGGCGUAGUGCAGUCUCGGCGUUCGAUGUGUGUAGAUGGACUUACGCAGAAGGAUGGUGUAGCCUGGCGUCGUGGUGGCAUCGAUGGCAGACCUGGCAAGGUCGUGGCGUCAGUAUCUGCUCUGAGGGUGGAUCGGUGGAAGGCGGCAGCGGCGGUCUCUUGGAGUGCGCCAGACAUGUGGCUCCCGGACCAGGUAUAUGGCUUGGAUGGGGCCUUCGGUUUUAGAUGUUAGGCUUAGGUGCGAGGUCUGUUUGGUAUUAUGCUCGGACUAUCGGCACCCCUUCAUCAAUUGCUUAGGAGUAGCGACAGAUGUUGUCAAUAUGGUGGCUUCAGACUUACCGUUGUACUACUUUAUAUGGUCUUUAUGAAUAAUUAAUAAAAUGAUUGUAUGCAUCGUUCAGAUGCAGACGCCGGGGGUCUUCCUCCUUUUCUAAAAAAAGUAUCUCCUGAAAACCAAGUUUGAAGACCAAAGCUAACAUCUCUCAUGUACAUUUUUUCUUUUAUUUUAUAUUUAUAUCUAUCCCAAAAAAAAUGUUGUUUCAUCAACAUGAGAGACAAACCUGUCUUUUCAUUUCUUAGCUAAAUGGUAGUGUGGCCAUUUCUCAUCCAAACAGCUACUUAUAAGCCGUCAUGUUCCUCUUUUGCUCUCCCAAAACAGAACAAUUCACUUUUUGUUAAAGUUGAUUUUAAGUCCAGACAAUUGUUUAAAAAGACACAACACUAGCUUCAUGUUUCUAGCUUUUGCAAGAUCGUGUUUCAUAAAAAUUAUCGUGUCAUCCGCAUACUGUAGUAUGGAAACUCCCCCGUCUACAAGGUGUGGGAUUAGUCCUCCUACGUGACCAUUCUCUUUAGCCCGACCAAUAAGGACAGCCAACAUAUCCGCUACUAUGUUGAACAAGACUAGGGACAUUGAAUCACCCUGUCGCAGUCCCUUAUGGGUCUGAAAAUAAUGACCUAUGUCAUCAUUAACUUUAAUGCCAACACUACCUUUCUAAAUGAAAGAGGACACCUGAUCCAUCCAGGAUUCAUUGAAUCCUUUCAUACGCAAGGCCUGUUGAAGGAAUGGCCAUUUGACGUUAUCAUAGGCCUUCUCGAAAUCGACCUUAAAAAUAACCCCUUCAAGCUUCUUUUUGUGAAUUUCAUGCAAUGUUUCAUGUAAGACGACAACCCCCUUUAGUAUGUGUCUUCCAGGCAUGAAAGCAAUCUGAGUCGGUUAAACGACAUACUCGGCUAUCUGUGUUAGCCUAUUCGUAUCAACCUUUGUGAAGAUUUUGAAACUCACAUUAAGCAGACAAAUCGGCCUGAACUGCUCAAUUCGAAUAGCUUCCACUUUUUUUGGCAACAACGUUAUUGUUCCGCAAUUUAGGUGAAAAAGCUUAAGCUGACCAUCAAACAAGUCAUGAAACAUCGGCAUAAUAUCAUCCUUUAUAAUAUACCAACAUUUUUGUAAAACUCGGCUGGAAACCCAUCCGGUCCUGGUGCCUUGGUUGGUUUCAUUUGUGCUAUUGCGUCAAACACCUCCUUCUCUGUAAAUGGUGCUGAGAGAAUAUCAUUCUCAUCCGAAUUGAGCUUAGGUAUGUCACCAUUUUCAUUCUCAUCUAGAGAAACAAAGUUGUGUUCCGGUUCACCAAAAAGCUUCUUAUAAUAUUGUGAUAUGUACAAUUUUAGGUUCUCGUGCCCUAUGAUUGUGCCCUCAUCUUUUUCUAGCUGAAUAAUUUUCUUUUUCCUAUGUUUGUCAUUCGCAAUCUUGUGAAAAAAGUGUGUGUUGUCAUCUCCAUGCACUACCUUGGACACCUUUGCUUGAAGGGCCCAUUUAAGAUCCUCCUCUCUGAGAAGGAUUUGCAGUUUCUUCUCAACCUCUGUUUUAAUAUCCCGAUCUAAUUUGCUUAGAAGUGAACUUUCAGCUUUCACAUCCAUCUCAUUAAUGAUAUUUAUAAGUCUAUCUUUUUCUACUUUAUAAAUACCAGAUUGAUUAUUUGCCCAGCCACUCAAAAACUGGCGUAAGUGUCUAAUUUUGUUUUGGCACCUGUCCAUAUUAGAGGAUCCACCAUAGUCUCCUGCCCAUUCAGAGGCAAUGAGAUCCAUGAAGCCUUCUCGCUCGAACCAAAUUAAUUCGAAAGUGAAAUUAUUCUUAUUUCCUACAUGUGUCGCUUCCCGCUUCCCGAGAAUCGACUAGUAGUCGUGUGUAAUCUGAAAUUGCCAUGUGCAUAGCAUGUAGUGUGACAAGUGGGUAUUUAUGCUCCCACUCAAUGCUAGUUAGAACUCUAUCUAACUUCUCAUAUGUUGGCAUUGGUAAAGAGUUGGCCCAUGUGAAUUGUCUACCCGUGAGGUCAAUCUCCCUCAAAUCAAGACUGUCAAUAAUCAUACUGAACAUGAAUGACCAUCUUCCAUCGAAAUUGUCAUUAUUUUUGUUCUUCUUUCUUCCUUAUGAUAUUGAAAUCUCCCCCAACCAGAAUAGGAAGCCUUUCAUUACCACAUAUUCUCACCAAAUCCGCAAGAAAAUCAGAUUUUAGCUCCGGUUGGGUCGCCCCAUAUAUAGCCACCAGAGCCCAUCUGAAACCAUCAACCUUCGAUCUUACAUGAAAUUUGACGGCGAACUCCCCAUACACGACACUUAAAACCUCUAAUGUGUCACACUUAAAACCAAGCAGGAUCCCACCAAAUCUAUCUCUUGGUGGAAAGCAGUGCCAAUAAAAGUCAACUCCUCCAGUAAUGUUUCUAAGAAAUUGCGACGUAAAGUUGUACCUAACCGUUUCUUGCAGCGCCAAAAAAUAGAGCUUAUGCUCACGUGUAUCCUCCCUAAAAAAUCUUAUUUUAGCCAAGCCUGCUAGACCUCUUCUAUUCCAGAAGAUUCCUCUCAUAUUUCAUCAUGGAAUUUUUAUUUUUUUAACUCACGCACUUCUCCGAACAGCUGAUACAGGAUACACCUUCCUCUUCCAAGGUCUCUUAGGUUUAACAUGUAUCAUGCUGUCGUGAUCAUUGGUGGGUGUAUCAUGAAGAAGGUUGUUAGGCAUCGAAGGGGCCAUAUACCCCUCUGAUCCCAAUACUUCCUCUUCCACCUCCUCACCCUCCUCUUCCAUUACGUCCUCACAGAAGUUCGAUGAUUUUGUGACACCUAGGUUACUAGGCCAUAUACCCCUCUGAUCCCAAUAUCAUUCUCAUCCACUGGUUUAAUUGCUGCUGAGUUUGUGAUGAUUUCCAUGGCUCUAUCUGCUUCUAGAUCUAGAAUGUCAUUAACAGAUUUCGCUACUUCGCUUUCAUUACUCCCAAGAGAUAUUCCUAGAUCAUUAGCCCUCUCUACGAUCGCAUGCUCAGAAAAAUGGAGAAUUGAAUAAUCAGUAUUAACUGACAUACCUGUGUUUUCUUCGAUAUCACGAAGCUUGGCGGCUCUCAUAGUAUGCCCCAUAUGUAUGUCGUCAGCAUCGGGAUGUCCCUGAAUACGGUGACUGAAUCGCCGCUCUCCAGUAGAGGGAUCCGGAAUUCCUUCGAAUGUGAUUGCAUCCUCUAUGGAUGCCCCCGGCGAUUUAAGACCUCCUAUCUCAUCGCCGUCGUCGUUUGAGCAUAUAUCGUGACCUGCAUCCAACGUUUCAAAUGUAGCCGAUAUCAAUGGAGUCUCGCCGUCCCCUGAUAUCGAGGCCGACAGGUUAAUUGUUUCCACUGUCGCCAUAUAUGCGCCGGUAAACCAUUCAUGUUGACGCGCCUGUGGGUGGCCAAUCUCACCAUGGACAGAAGACAGGGACUGACACCAAGCCACCGCGCUGGCCUCCUGGCCACGAUCUGAUGGCUUGGAAGCUGCACCAAAAUCCGGUGUUGUCUGUGCGGCGUGCUGCACCACAAGGUCGCCACCGUGAUCAACAUGAUCCCCCCACAACUGGCUCGGCACAGACAUGGGGAAAGAGCCAAAGCGGAGAGAAGCCAUGCGUGUCGAUGAAGAGUCAUUACCCCUUUCAUGUGACGAAGCAGAAGAUUUUGAUUGUUGAGAUUUCUGGCUUUUUGAGAACCCAUCAUCAUAAGUCCCAUUUUUCUCAUCAUUUCCAUUGCCUCCAGCACCAUCGCCAUCAUCCAUCAUAUCUACAUCACCAUUCGCAUCGUCAUUUACACGCUUUGGUGUUUCCUCAACUACCACAUCUAGAUCUUAAUGCAAACCAUCAUAUGACCAUGGAACAAAAUCUGGCAGAAACUCGGAUCCAACACCCCAACAAACAGCCUCGCAAUCUCAUGUUUGCGUGUGAACGACAUAUCCACCUUAUCCGUCUUACCAAGCAGAGUGCCUAGACUCCAGACAAUAAGGAAGUCAUUGAGGAGUGCCUUUGAAACUCCAAGGAAUUUGAUCCAAGCCUUCUCAAGAGGUAAAUAGAAACAUAGAAAAUAGAAAAAAAAUAGAAAAGGAGGAUUACCCCGCCUCUGCAUCUGGGGAUGCAUGCAGUCAUAUAGAAAAUAUAAGAUGGUGUCAACUAAGCUUAUUUUCAUUGGCUACUAACUAAUUAUAUAUGUUGCUGCCCACGCAACAGCAUUAUUGGUGAUGGGCAUGGUUAAUGCGAAGCAUUGGCCGAUACUAUAUAAGAUGGGUUUUUUUAUGGAUUAUACGUAGCUGGUUUGCUAUGCCCUGGUGACUGAAAAGACUAGGGGAAUAAGGUUAUUUUCUCCGGAAGAACUUUGAUGCCAUCCGUGGAUAUUUAUUAAUUUAUGCUGGUUCAUAUUUUAGAUUGCCAAGUUGCAGUGGUUUUCCUUAAUGAUUGUUAUUUAUUUAUUUUUGUUCUCAUGGAAGUAUUAGUGUGAUUGGAGGCGUCGACAAUAUUUUUCCCGUUCAGUAACUGUAUACACAUGUUCCACACAGAUUGGAAGAGAAUAGUAUAUAUUUCUGCAAGCAAUGCUACUUCACACAGAUUGAUUUUCAUUACAGUUGAGAUUCACUACCUACAUGCAAGAAAUCCUGCUGUACAUAUAAAAAUGGUAAAAAAAAACAAUCUGUUAUAUGUAAAAAUGGUAAAAAAAAUACAAAAAAUGGGGCAUUCCGAGAAUUGAACUCGGGACCUCUCGCACCCUAAGCGAGAAUCAUACCACUAGACCAAAUGCCCUCUGAUGUUGUAAAUUUACAAAUUUCUUUACAUAUUCUAUGGCUAGCGUAGAUGUGUGAGUACUCAUAACACGACGAUCUGAAUCAGGAAACUUGCUGUUGGCUUUUGAGAAAAUUUUGUACUCGGUUAUUCUUCAGUUAAUCAGUACAGCAACUGUUCUUUGACUGCAUAGUGGCCAGAAUUCUUUGGAUCCUGUGUCUGAUAGCUUUAAUUAUAACCUAUCUAUUUAUUAUCUGAUGUCACGGCUUUGUACUGAAAAACAACCUAAGAAAAAAUGUUGUUCUAAACUUGGUCUAUGCUGCCUCCCUGUGGAGUUUGUGCAUCGCCAGGACCUACCUCCCCUUGUGAGUGCAAGCUAUGAAGAACAGUGACGGUCUUUGAUCUUCCAUUCUGACUGCCUUCAGCGGGGCUGAUUCUGUAGAAGUGCAUGCUCUAACCAAUGCAAUCAAAAGACAUGGAAGAGACUAGGCACCACAUUAUACGUCAACACUCCCCCUCACGUGUGGCUCCCUCAGGCCUAAACGUGGACCAAAAAUGGGCUGCAAUUUAAGUGCGCCAGCCCGGUCUUGAACUCAAGACCUCUUGGCUUUGAUACCAUGUACAAGUGCAUGCUCUAACCAAUGCAACCAAAAGACCGAUCUAAGAUGAAAGAGACUAGGCAGCACAUUAUACGUCAACAGAUUCCACUCUCUGUUUCCCUUUGUUAAGUAUCCAUUUACGUUCUCCAGGUUUGUAAGUUUGGAGUUGUUCUAGCAUCUCUUUUAAGCAUCGUCUGGUUGAUGUUUACCUGGCUGGCUACCUUUGGUAGUUUGGUUAUGCCUGGGUCUCUUGCUUGGUUUCAUUGAUGGAAAUGGAGCCGGGGUGAAACCCCUUUAUUUCAAAAAAUAAUAAUUAAUCCCAAGGUUGUCUAUAGAGAAGAAAUGCUCUUGUGGUGACAUUUCCAUAAGAGGAAGAGUGACUGCAACCAUGAUCUAUUCAAUAGGUGUACAACGAUUCAUAUACAGCUGAUGACUAACUAACUCCCUACAUGCAAGGAGUGGAUGAGUACCAAGGCGUGAGACUAGCUCCAAUGGUUACAACGGUUUACAAAUGUAUACAGGGGACAUAUUACAACUCAACACCCCCCCCCCCCGCAGUCCAAACGUCACUACGUAAGACGUUCAGACUGGCUCUAAAAUCACAGAAGAUAGUCGAAGGCAGCCCCUUGGUGAAGAUAUCUGCAAACUGCGAAGCGGUCGGAACGUGAAGCACUGUGGCUUGACCAAGGGCAACACGAUCGCGAACAAAAUGAAGAUCAAUCUCAAUGUGCUUCGUCCGUUGAUGCUGCACUGGGUUGGAGGAGAGAUACACUGCACUAACAUUGUCACAAUAGACGACUGUGGCGCGAGUGGGAGGUCGUCGGAGCUCGAUGAGGAGUUGUCGCAACCAGCAGGACUCAGCAACACAGUUGGCCACGGCACGGUACUCGGCUUCGGCACUGGAACGCGAGACUGUGUGCUGUCGUUUGAAGGACCAGGAGAUUAGGUUGGAGCCCAAGAAGACAAAAAAGCCAGACGUGGACUUGCGAGUGUUGGGACACCCGGCCCAGUCAGCAUCACUGUACGAGAUGAGAUCAUGCGGCGACGAGCGGAAGAGCUGGAGGCCGUAGUGGGUAGUGCCACGGAGGUACCGCAAGACGCGCUUGAUCAGCUGAGAGUGGGUGUCGAGAGGAGCAUGCAUGAACAAGAAAAUCUCCUGGGCCGCAUAGGUGAGAUCCGGCCGAGUGAGGGUGAGGUACUGAAGGGCUCCGGCGAGGCUGCGAUAUUUGGAGGGGUCCGAAUAAGGUUUGCCACCGGUGGAGGAGAGUUUGGAGCUAGUGUCAAUGGGUGUCGAGAUGGGAUGGCAGUUAAGCAUGUUGGCACGAUCCAGAAUCUCAAGCGCAUAUUGUUCCUGAGAUAAGAAAAGGCCAGCGGUGUUGCGGUGCACAUUGACGCCAAGAAAGUGAUGGAUAUCGCCAAGAUCACUCAUGGAAAACUCGCGAGUGAGGUCCGCGACCAGGGACGUCAGGAGGGACGUGGUGCUCGCGGUCAAGAUGAUGUCGUCGACAUAUAAGAGUAAAUAUGCCAUGGUCGAUCCCCUGUGAAGGAUGAAGAGGGAGGUACCACACUUGGAGGAUGCAAAAUCGAGAGUGUGGAGGAACCGCGUGAAUCGGAGGAACCAAGUACGCGGAGCCUGUUUAAGACCAUAGAGAGACUUGUUAAGGCAACAAACAUGCGUGGGGCGAGAGGAGUCAACAAAACCGGAGGGUUGCUGGCAAUAGACGGUCUCAGCAAGAUCACCAUGAAGAAAGGCAUUUUUGACGUCCAUUUGCCGAAUCGCCCAGUUGUUGGUCGUGGCGAGACUGAGCACCACACGGAUCGUAGCGGGUUUGACAACGGGACUAAACGUCUCGCCGUAAUCAACCCCGGCCUGCUGGGUGAAACCCCGGACCACCCAUCGCGCUUUGUACCGAGCCAAGGAGCCGUCUGGAUGAAGUUUAUGCCGAAAGAUCCACUUCCUGAUCACCACGUUAACACCUGCAGGGCACGGCACCAAAGACCAAGUGUCAUUCCGAAUUAGUGCAUUAUAUUCGUCUAGCAUCGCAUUGUGCCAAUGGGGGUCUUUGAGAGCUGUUCGGUAGGAAGAGGGAAGCGGAGAGGGAUCAGUGGUAACGGACAGAUCAAAGACUUGCGAGGGCAUGGAAAAACCGCGUUUGCCACGCGUGACCAUGGGGUGCGGGUUGUGACGAGGUGGAACUGGGACGGCACGAGGCGGAAGCUGGCGAGCUGGACGCGGCAGCGAGCGGGAAGCGGGCGACGAGGCUGGACGCAGGGCACUGCGAGGGGAGAAUGGGGAGGAGCCCGUGGGAGUGGGCGUGCAUGUAGGAGGUCGGUACGUAGGCGUGCAUGCAGGGGGUGGGGAGGUUAUGUGGUCUUGCAUGGGAGCGGGCCCCGAGGGGUGCGGUGAGCGGGGCGCGAGACGCAGGGAGCGCGCGCGUGGAUGGGGCAGGGGGUUGGUGGUGGUUCGUGGGGUGUGGUUGGUUGCAUGGGACGCGGUUGGUGGUUACGUGGGGUGUACGCCAUGUAUGGAUCGGGAAGGCAGGCGCCAUGCGCAGGUGCGGAAGUGGCGGCGGGCAGCGGGUCAGCUGCGGAUGUGUACGGGAAGCAGUUUUCAUCGAAAACAACAUGACGGGAAACGAUGACUUUGCGCAAAGUUAAGUCAAAGCAGCGGUACCCCUUCUAUUCACGUGGAUAGCCGAUGAAGACACGGCGGGUGGAGCGUGGCGCGAGCUUGUGCGCAGCGGUGGUGGAGAGGUUUGGAAAACACAAGCAGCCAAAGGUGCGGAGGUGAUCGUAGGUGGGGUGGACUCCAUGGAGAAGGAAAUGAGGGGUAAAGUGGUGAAUGGCACGGGACGGCCGUAUGUUGAGGAGUGUAGUGGCGGUGUGGAGAGCCUCAACCCAAAACGGGGGAGGGAGCUGUGCCUGAAAUAAAAGAGUGCGGAUGACAUUGUUAGUGGUGCGGAUAUGUCGUUCAGCCUUGCCGUUUUGGGGGGAGGUGUGGGGGCAAGUUAGACGGAAGGAGAUGUCGUGGGAGGAAAGGAAGGCACGGAGCGUCGUGGUAAGGAAUUCACCGCCAUUAUCACACUGCAAACAUUGCACAACAACAUGAAACUGGGUGAGAAUGAACUUGAAGAAUCGUUGCAACGUGGCACAAGUAUCGGAUUUGGCACGGAGAGGAAACGUCCAAGAGUAGUGAGUGAAAUCAUCCGAAAUAACAAGGUAAUAUUGAUAACCCGAAAAACUGAGUAUCGGAGAGGUCCACAAAUCACAAUGCAAAAGUUGGAAUGGCGCGGUGGUGUAUGAGUUGGAGGUGGGGAAGGGUAGACGGGUGUGUUUGCCUAGUUGGCAUGCGGUACAGAGAGAGUAUUUGGGAGCAUUAUUACAUUCAGUGGGAACUUCAAAAGGAAAAUAAACUAUCGAAGAGGCUCCAGGGUGUCCGAGCCGUUUAUGCCAAAGAUCCGAAGUGGAGACGGCGUAGGCCUUCGAGGGAGUGCCGCCAUGAGCACCAGAGAAGUGGUAGAGGUCACCAUCACUAUUGCACCUCAGAAGCACUUCCCUGGUGUGAAGAUCCUUCACGCAAAAACCGAAGGGGUCAAACUCCACAGAGGCAAUAUUAUCACGAGUGAAUUUGCGCAUGGAUAUGAGAUUCUGAACCACGUUGGGAGACACAAGUAUAUGAGUGAGAUAGAAAGGACGAGGAGGAAGGCGAGUGUUACCGACGGCGAUGACGGGAACACGAGCCCAUUACCAACAAUGAUGUGACGAGUAUUAUGCGCUAAGAGGGGAUGAGACUCGAUCAAGUUACCUGGGUCCCCGGUGACGUGUGAGGAGGCACCCGUGUCCAUGAUCCAAUCGGCAUGAGGAGGGAACGCCGAGCCGUGGCUGGAGGCGGCGUGGUACAUGGCGCCCGUGUGCCACGAGUGCGGCAGCACGGCGUAUGGAGCUGGCGGCGGUAGAGUCGGAGGACCGGAGUGCAUCACAGGAUAGGCGUGAUGUGAUGCGCCAGGAUGGGGGCCGAGGACGCCGGCGGAGUUGGGCGCGACCCAAGGAGACCAUGGUGGCGGAAAGGGCGUCCCCAUGGGGGCAAAGUACCCCAGCCAGGGCUGAGGUCCACGGCCGCCGUGGCCCUGGUAGCCGCCGCGCCCCUGAUCGCCAGCAUAGCCACCGCAUCCACCUCCUCCAGCGCGAUCGCCGCGGUCGCCACCGGAGCGAUCUCCACGGUCACCAUGGUCGCCACUGCGUCCGCCACGGCCGUCAAGGCCGCGAUCGUCGUCGGAGCGGACGGAGUGAACCUGAGCCCCCUCGACGCGAGCCCGCUUGUCCAGGGCCAUCUCGGCGAGCACCAGCCUGGGCGAACGACGGCAGGGGCACGGUGGACUGGAUGAUGGCAGCCUGGAGGUCGAACUUCUUGCCGAGGCCAUCCAGCAUCUGCAGAGUGAGGGUUCGGUCCGAAACCGGCUCCCGGACGUCAGCCAGGGCGGAGGCGGGACCUUGAAGGCGGCGACAGUACUCGUUGAUGGAGAGGUCGCCACGCACACACGCCCGGAACUCCUGGCCGAGGUGCAUGGCGUUCUCAGCUUCAUUGUCGAGAAAGUAUUCAUGAAGACGAGACCAGAUGGUGUGAGCGGUGGAGCCCGGUGGCGCAACGACGUCAAGAAGGUCGUCGAAGAUGGUGGAGAAGAACCAAAGAACGAUGGUGUUGUCGUCGUCUCUCCACGAUGGAUCAGAGAGGCGGGAGACGGCACCAUCCUAGACGUGAGACUCCGCAUGGAAACGGGAGAGGAAGAGGUUGAUGUAGUUCCUCCACCGGGCGAAGUUGGAGCCGUCGAGCGCGAUUUUGAAGUCGACAACACUCGUGAUGCUGGGAGGAAGAACGGUGGAAGGCGUCACAGCAGAGGGGGUGUCAAAGAAGGGUUGCUGCAGGGUGGGGUUGGGAGUGGUGGCAGCGAGUGGGAGCUCGGGCGGCUGAGCAAGAUCGGUGAGCUGGGCACGAGGGCGCUCGUCCGAGCCAGCCGGGAGCUCCUGAUCUGGGAGCGUCCCUAGAUCGCCGGCAGCAGCGUCCGCGGCGCCAGCGGCGGCUGCGGCGGCGGCGGCGAGUGACGGAGGGUCAGUGGCCAUGGGAGAGAAGGAGAGAACCAAGGCUCUGAUUACCAAGAGGAAGAGUGACUGCAACCGUGAUCUAUUCAAUAGGUGUACAACGAUACAUAUACAGCUGAUGACUAACUAACUCCCUACAUGCAAGGAGUGGAUGAGUACCAAGGCGUGAGACUAGCUCCUAUGGUUACAACGGUUUACACAUGUAUACAGGCAACAUAUUACAACUCAACGCCAUAUGUGUCAAAUGUUUUAUUCAGGUCGAGUAUUUAUCUAUUGGGUUCGAACCCAAGCCGUGCCCAUUUCCUCCUAAUUUCUUUUCAUGCUCCCAUGACAAGUGGGGCCACACAUUUGAAAGAGAUAGAGAAAGGGAGCUGACAAGCCGGACCAAGGAUAUGUUUUCAUAUAUUUUAGGCAACGUGUUUUGAUUUUUUUUUUAUAAAAGAAAUAUAUUAAUAUCGCGAAGAUAUCAAUUACACCCAACCUCUGCACCAACAAGACAUCAAGGAUGCACACAGCCAAGAACAAAAAUUCGAGCUGGGGUAGUGCAAGGAGGUGAUAAACCAGGAGGGCUUCAUCACCAAGCGCAUUAACAAGCUCCGGGACCAGGUUGACAAGACCCGCCGCGAUUGGUGUGAGAUCAGGUACCUCCUGUACAAAACCAUGCAUGGCGACCUCUCGGGCCUCAUUGGCCUCAACAUCGAGGAGCUCACAGAGUUAACUACAACGUGGAUGUGCUUCUUGUUAGCUUUAGGGGGUGUUUUUUUACAUGGACUUUUUGCUCUACGGACUAAAAAAAGUCCCUUUUAGUCUCAUCUGAAAGAAACAGUAGGGAUUUUUAGGGACUAAAAAAGGGUAUUUGGGACUAAAGGAAGAAGUCCUCAUGGAAAGAUCUUUUUAAGAUUUUUUUUUACAUUUUUUCCAACAGUGUUCUUACUUUUAGCAUGUCAUUUAAUAACUUAUAGUAUAUUAUUAGAAGUAACAUGGUCUUUUUGCAUGUCAUUUAAUGACCUCUAGUCCAUGUUUAGUCCUUGAAAAGAAAUGGGUAGGGACUAGGACUUUUUAGUUGGAAUAAAAAAAAGUUCUAAGACUUUUUAAAAAACAGGGCCUUAAUCUUGAUGAGAUGCCGAUGGUGCCGUGUGAUACGGCGACGCGGCAAAAGACGUGAUGAAGGCUGGGACAUGACAGACCAUGUCAGGUUGGCUUGAGUGACCCAAGAGGUCGCUUAGUUGGUUAGAGCAGUUGUGCAUGUGCUAGUUUGUUAGUCGUUUUGAUGUGGAGUGAUUCCAGGGAGAGCUGAACGUGGGCAAGCAGGUUGUUAGCUGCAUGUGAUUUGUUAGCUAGCUUCAUGGAAUGACUCAAGUUCGUUAGUGCAUGGAUGAAGUUGUUAGUGGAGUAAUGGGUCAAGUAGUGGCGUGAGUAUUGCAUGGCAGCCGUGCCAGCCUCUGUGUCUAUAUAAGUGCUUUGUGUAAUGAGAAAAGGGAACCGUGAGGGCAGCGGCAAAAUGUAGUCUCUUGUUUUCAUCAAGGAGGUGAGGCUCUCGUGCAAAGCUGCGCUGGUCUUCUCCUUGGUGUGUGCGUGUGUGUUCUUGAGAGAAGAUAGAGAGAAACCACAAGAAAGUGAUGAUAGGAAGAAGAAGAGCGGCGCUGCAAGGAGGCGACGCCACCACUUCUCAAGAGCAUCACCGAACGCAUGGCAAAAAUCCAUUCCCAGGUGUUGCCGCCACCAGCUCCAUGUGUCGCCGCCGGCAACAUAGACAUGGGGUCUCCCGCGUUGUAUCCGGCACCACCUCAGCAGCAGGAGGGCCGGCUUGACAUGGUGAGCUCUGGAUGGGACCUCUACACCCUGGUCUACGGUGGCUACACAGUGACAGCUUCUCUAGCAACGAUAUGAUGAUGCAGAUAUGGGGUUCGGUUCGAUUCCUUUCCCUCGCAUGUAAGCCAGGAGGUCCGAUAGCAUCUCGUUUUUAUUUGGCUUUGGUGGUUAGUACUACUAUGAGACAUUCAGUUAAUUUCAUGAAAUUGUUAUAUUCGUCUAUGUCCGUCGUUGUAUUCAUCGUGUUCUUUGAGCUAAAUCAUAUUUAAUUCCAAUGCAAUCAUUCAAAUCGAUAUUCAGUUGGUCUCUUCCCUAGGUUACUCUGUUUGAUCUUUGCUGUUUACUUGGUCGUAAACCUUGAGUUGCACCAUUUGCUCGUCAAGACGGCAUCGUGGCCGAUCCAAGGUGACAAGGAGACAUGGUGGCCGAUCCUCUUUCCAGCACNNNNNNNNNNNNNNNNNNNNNNNNNNNNNNNNNNNNNNNNNNNNNNNNNNNNNNNNNNNNNNNNNNNNNNNNNNNNNNNNNNNNNNNNNNNNNNNNNNNNUUAAACUCAUCAUGAAAUAUAUUCUAGAAAUAUAUGUUGACUGCAUAAGUAAAAUAAUAUAGGGCAUUUGCUCUAGUGGUAGGAUUCUCGCUUAGGCCUUAUUUGAUACUAGUGUUUUUAAGAAGAUUGGUGGGAUAAUCCCCCAAGGGAUUGGGUGAAACCCCAACCUUCACCCAAUCCCUUCAAAUCCCCAUUUAUCCCCAAUACACUAGGUAGGGGUAGUGUAUUGGGUAUUGAGAAAAAUGCACUAUACUUUUGAGAUUUGAGGGAAAAUGUGGGGAUGAAACAUGUCAAAUACACUAGAACCAAAUGAUGUUAUGGAAUGUGUGGGGAUUGAAGGGUUUGACCGGGAUAAUCCCCACAAAUUCCCUAAAAUACAAGAGUACCAAACAAGGUCUUAGGGUGUGAGAGGUCCCGAGUUCAAUUCUCGGAAUGCCCCAUCCUUUUACUUCUUUUUUAAUUAUUUUUCAUGCAUGUACUAUAGUAGAAUUUCUUUCAUAUUGCUAUCCAAGUAGAUGACUUCAAAAUCAAUCGAUCUGUGUUUACUAGCAUUCAAUUCUUCUUUUUUUUUGCCAUUACAUAAUUUUUCAAUCUCUUCAGGCUUCGAGUGAAACCACACAGCAUUCAGUUUAGAGAUACUCCCUCCGUUCCUAAAUAUAAAUCUACACACGGCCUAUCCCCCGCGUCGCCUACCCGAGCAAGGCGGUCAGGGGCUCGUCCCCUUCCCCCCUUCCAGCGCUCCCCCUCUCCCUCACCUCCUCCUGCUGCCGCCAGCGGGCGCCACCAGGCCAUGCUCGUGUGGUGCCGGCGAGUUCAAUUCUUGAAAUGCCCCAUCCUUUUACUCCUUUUUUAAUUAUUUUUCAUGCAUGUACUAUAGUAGAAUUUCUUUCAUAUUGCUACCCAAGUAGAUGACUUCAAAAUCAAUCGAUCUGUGUGAACUAGCAUUCAAUUCUUCUUUUUUUGCCAUUACAUGAUUUUUCAAUCUCUUGAUGCUUCGAGUGAAACCACACAACAUUCAGUUUAGAGAUACUCCUUCCAUUCCUAAAUAUAAAUCUACAUACGGCCUCUCCGCCGCGUCGCCUACCCGAGCAAGGCGGUCAGGGGCUCGUCCCCUUUCCCCCUUCCAGCGCUCCCCCUCUCCCUCACCUCCUCCUGCUGUCGCCAGCGGGCGCCACCAGGCCAUGCUCGCGUGGUGCCGGCGGCGGCGGGUCUGUCCUUCCCUACGCGCGCCCCCUGCUUGGGCGGUGGCGGCUGGCGGCAGUGUCUUUCGACCGGCGGUAGUGUGGCCUGGCGGCGGCGAUGUCGCGUGCCACGGUGGCUCUCAACGCGGCGAGACAUCCGUUGGUCGUGGGGCAGCACUGGUGGCUAGUGGCGCCCGCCCGACCCAAAUCUGGGCCCGUUUGGGCCCAUCUGGUUUGGGGCAGGUCGGUUGCUCAGCGUUCGACGGAGUCACUCCCUGGUGGUGAGGCGAGGCGGCGGCGGUCUACGGGCAUUGACCACCUUGUCGAUCGGUAAGUUGCAGCGCGGGGAUAGGGACUGUCCUUUCCCAAGUGGGCCCGGCCGAGCCGUGAGGUCCUCGCAAGUCCUCGUCACCAUGUCCGGUCAGCUCCGCAUAGGCGGUCGAGGUUGUCCCCAACCACCGAUCAAGUUGUGGUUGCUCCCGUGGCCGUUGUCUCCUUCCCCCCUCUAGGCCUCGUGUUGAUAGCUCCAGAGAGACGACGAGGAUGAUCCGGUAACCUUUGUGGCACAGGCUGGUGAGCGGAUGAGUGGGUGGUGCACUACGAAGUGUCUGGAGUGGUGGUGGUGGUUGUGGAUCGGGAGAAAUCCUUGACGACUUGCCCGACACCGACGAGGCGACGCCUGCGGGCGCCGCCGGACCUUCCUGAAGGGUGCCGGGUAUAUCCCUCCUCCACUGCCCUCCGCGUACUGGGGGAAACCCUAGGACUUGUUCGGGCAACAACGACAACAUUGUCGCAUUCCUUCUUGAAGGUGUUGUUUGGUGCGCGACGCUUCGGAAUGCUGGGACACGGUGGUACUUCUUGAUGGGUGCAAGAUUGUCGGUCUUCUUCUCUUCGUCGAUCUGCCGCUGUCGGCAUUUGUUUCUCUUUUCUUUCUUUUGGUUUUCCUUUUGGGCUCGUUUGUGCUGCGGCCCAAGCGAGCUAGAUGUAUCAGAUGGUUGCUUUAUAAUAUAAAGCGGGGGAAAGCCUUUUAUCGUCUAUACUACAACUAUCCUCAUACGAAUGUAGAAUUAUGUAUAUGACUACUAUUCGUUAUUAAAGAAUUGCAUCUGGCAGCAAAAUAAAACAAUAAAAGACACGCCAUUACCCUGUAGCACAGAAAUUUGGGAAUGCAUGAUAAAUGGUCAUAUCCCUGGACCUGCCACCGUUGCAAAGUCUGUUAAAUGUCAUAUCCUGGACUAUAGAGACAACACAAGAUGUCCUUACAGGCAAAAUUGACAAAAAUGACCCCUGGGGGGAAAGAACUCACGGAGUGACCCCUCAGGGAAAAUAUGUCACCCGGCUAACCCUUUUGUGUGGCGCCCGACACCUAGGCGCCACACUACACUGUGUGACGCCUAGCCGUUCGGCGCCACACCCCCCGACCACCUGGCAGAGAGGGCCCACCCCCAGCCCGUGUGACGCCUAAGCCUCAGGCGUCACACAUUGUAAUGUGUGGUGCCGAGCGCUUAGGCGCCACACAGUGACUUAACAGGCACGGGCCAGCCCCCCUCCCCACCCCCUCCUCUUUCCCCUCCCCCCAGCCCCCUCUCCCAGCCACUGGCCCCUCUUCAAAUCCUUCUCUAAAUCACCAAAGCUGAAGGUUUGGACCGGGCAUUUGUUGUCCAAUCACUCCCCUAAGGUAAUCCCCACCUCUCCCCUCAUUCUCAUCCAAAGAAAAAUCUUUUGUGGUCUUUUUUUUUGCAAAUUUGAGGAAACCCUAGUUUUUAUGAAAUGUGGGAUGUAUAUGAUAUUGUUGUAUUUGUUUGUAUGUUAGGAUAAGGGGUAUGAUGGGGUUAGGAUUAGGGUUGUUUGGAUGUUUGCAUUAUGGUUGUUUUAGGGUUAGGCUAUGGUUAGGCUAGGGUUAGGGAUGUUUGGUUGUGUUAGGGUUAUGAUGGGGUUAGGGUUAUGGUUGUUUGGAAGUUAGGAUAGGGUUAUUGUAAUUGUACCGGAGGCCUGAUGUACGCAGAAAUAGAUUCGGGUGGAUCAGAUUCAUAAUUGGCGCACAUGAAAAACUUCAUGCCCAACCAAUCCGAAAAAUCCUCCACCUCCUUCACCUUGUAGAGAUCACCGCACCAACAUCGAACUGCUUCCACCCCCCGAGGCAAACUCGCACUCUUCAUUUUCUUAGGCCUGAUGCUUUGAUCCGAGCAAGGCAAACUCAUAUUGACUAAAGCGGUGGUAGUGUUCUCAAUUGAGGCUGGAUGACGGAGGAAGGCAGUCCAAUGCCUCCUUUUAUAGACCGGAAAGGAGACGUCGAAAUACUGGCGGGAACGAAGGAGGGAAAGGUGGCGGAAAGGAGACAUGGAAAUAUUGGCGGGAACGGAGGAGGGAAAGGUGGCGGGAAAGAAGACGUGGAAAUAUUGGCGGGAACGGAGGAGGGAAAGGUGGCGGGAAAGAGGACGUGGAAAUUUUGGCGGGAACGGAGGAGGGAAAGGUGACGGGAAAGGGUGUGCUCAAAAUUUUGGGGGAACGGAGGAGGGAAAGGUGGCGGGAAAGAGUGUGCUCAAAGGUUCCAGCAGGUUUUCACAUGUGUGGCGCCUAAGGCUUAGGCGCCACACAUGUGAAAACCUGCUGGAAGCUGAAUUUUGACAGCAAUACAUCAUUUUCACAGCAUAUAUUUUGACAGCAUAUAUUUUGACAGAAAUUUAAAACAUAUGUGCAACACAAACAACAGAAGUGCAACACCAACAAGUGCAAAUGAUUGUUGACAAGUGCAACAUCAACACCAACACAAGUUCACAACUCCUAAUGGUUCACAACACCAAGUAAAUGGUUCACAACUCCAAAUGGUUCACAACAAAAGUAAAAUGGUUCACAACACAAGUGCAACACCAACAAGUGCAAAUGAUUGAAAACUACAAAUGGCUCCGGUUCACAUCUUGGCGCCUCGUCCCCUCUUAGAAACUAGCUUCUUUCUUCUCGAAACUACAAAUUGCUCCGGGUCAUCCGACUCAUCAUCAUCGUCAUCCUCAUCCUCAUCGUCCAUGCUUCUCAUCCUUGACAAACGAGAGCCCCCGGCGACCGGGUUCUUUCCUUUCGCAUAAUCAUCUGGUGAGUACCGCCUAAAUUCCUUCCUAGGCUUCAACAUGUAAGCGGAGCGUUGGAAAGCCUUCAACGUCAUCCCGUCCGCAACCUAAUACAUAUGAAGGUUGAAAGUUCAAAGUUGAAGGUUGAAAGUGCACAAUGUUUUAUGGCUAUGUCAUACCUCAAGAGUGUCAACAUCAUCCUCUACAGUAUUUCUUUGGGUAUUAGCUGCCGAGGUAAUGUCAACAUCGUCCAUACGAGCGCCCGAAGAAGCUGAAUCAUCUAGAGUAUUUCUUUCGGAUGAACCGGAUCUCGAAGGUGAAACAUAUUCAGGGUCACGACAACCUAAAAUGUUGGAUAUGCGCCGUAACUUCUUGCCCUGUUCCUGUUAGAUUCAAAUAUAAAUGACAUAUAUAAGGUACCGUAUGUUGCAUUCGUGGGCAAAAUAAUAAUAAUGACACGACACCUUUAUGAAAAGACGAAGUGCAGAUUCUCCAUUUUUUCCUCCAGGUGUCUUCUCUAGAAUAUCUUCGGACUCAUCAGCUUGUUUCUUGACCUCUUUGCGCUAUGAUCACAAGACAAUGACAUGCAAGUGAAUAGGUGUACUAGCAUUCAUACUUAACAUAGGUGAGCACAAUUACCACAAAGUUCAGGACAGGGGCGAAGAAAGUUUGGUACCCUUCGCGAAUUAACUUGUUGUAAUCGCCUUGGGCAAGUGCAUCGUACUCGGUGGGUUCUUCCAAUAUGUCCUCCUCGUAAGCCGGCGGACAAAUCUCGACAUGAGUACUCUCCUGAAACCAUCUUAGGUAGUUGUUGAACGCAAGCGGACAAUAAUGUUGGCGGUGCUGGGUUCGUUGCGCACUCGAAGCUGCCUGCACACUUUGCUCGAACAUAAUGACAUAGUUCUGAUGAUGCUUAUGCCAAUCCUUGAUCUUUCCCUGCCUCCUCCUAUCCAACCUGCUUUUAACAAAACCCAUCAGUACCUCGCUCAACACUAAGAACAAAACUAAUCAGUACUUCUUUAUUGUGCAUGAUUUUGUUACCUGUGAAGCUGUGUGUCCGUGUCCACCCACUCCGGCGGGUGUGGCUGAAACAACCCAAAUUGAUGCAUCACACGAUGCGGGAGAUGAAACUCAACCGCCCAAUUGCAUAUAAGGGGACAACACAUUAGCCGAAGAUGUUUUUCCUACAGGCAUAGUGGAUUGAGCUCGAACGUGUGUGCAUCACCAAAGUUUGGCCCGACACCAUAUGGCUGCCAUUCCACCUACAACACAACAUAAAAGGCACAAUUCAUUUUACUCACAACAUAAAAGCUGGAAGUCAAGUCUGAAACCAUCCUACCUGCUAGGGGGUAAGUGAAUCCAUCUCGUUGGUGUAUUGCUUGUACAAUAGGUUCACUUUGCUUGCCACCUCCGAUACCAAGUCCCACUUGUAAGCCCAUGUAGGAAGCCGUACAGGGUUGCCAUGGUCAUCCCAGGUAUUCCACUUUGAGCUUUUAGGGCGUCCAACAGCUAGGCAUUCCUAGCUCCAUACUGAAAGUAGGAGCAUACAACCACCAACUCCACCGUCCUUUGUGGUCCUGCGACAAGCAUCGUCCAACUACAAGUAACAACAAACAUGCAUUAGUUUAGCAGAAAAAGAUAACAGAGAGUACUUAAUAUUAACAAUUUAUUACCUGCCGAUACAAGUAAGCCAGUGCGGCCGAGCCCCAACUGAACUUGUUGUCGAAAACAGUCAACGCCUUCAGCCACAUCCAUGGAGCAUUCUUGCCAGUGCCGUCAGCAAAGAUAGUCCUAGAGAUGACGUACCACAUGUACACGCGAGCAUACCUCUGGAUCACCUCGUCAUCCGCGUCCUCAGGACAAUGAGCAAAGUUCGCGGCAAUCCAAGUGAAAGGAGCGCCGGCCGGGACUCUAUCUUUCUUCCCUCCAUCUUCUACCUCCGGCUCAUGCGGCGACAUACCAAUAAGGGCCUCCAUUUGUUGCCGCCAUCCCUCAGAAUCAGUGCUCAUACAAAGAGGCUUCCCCUCGAUCGGAAGUGCGGUGAUCAUGGAAACAUCUUCAAGAGUAACUGUCAUCUCUCCGGUCCGGAGGUGAAAACUAUGUGUCUCCGGCCUCCAACGAUCAAUAAGUGUUGUGACUGCCGCAGCGUUCAGAUUGGGCGUUGACCGACUCACAAGCUGAAUGAAUGGAAGGAGUCCUGUCAUCUCGAUGUAUGGGGUGUACCGCUCAUCAUACUGCAUUACAGACGAUGCCCCAUGAGACCGGAUCUUCAAGGGCAUAAGCUCCUGCAAACAGAUAGGAGUAAGUGAUAUCAAGUGCUUAUUACAUUUUCAAGUGCUUAUUAAAUACAUGUUUUUUUAUCAUAUGAUCUACUUACCAUUUUCUUCUCCGACAUGAAAUAGGCCCAGUGUUCAACGUCAUAAACAUUAUUCAGAAGCCACACCAUCCUACAAAUCACAAAAAAUACUCAUAUUCAAAAAAUUACUCAUCUACUAAUCCACUCAUCUACAUAUUAUUCAAAUCCUAAGAACUCAUAUGAAUCUACUCAUAUCCUAACUACUCAAAUCCUAAGAACUCAUAUGAAUCUACUCAUAUCCUAACUACUCAAAUCCUAAGAACUCAUAUGAAUCUACUCAUAUACCAACUACUAAAAUCCUAAGAACUAAUAUCCUAACUACUCAUAUCAGUCUAGUCAUAUACUAACUAUUAAUACUAACUACUAAUAUGAAUCUACUCAUAUCCUAACUACUCAAAUCCUAAGAACUCAUAUCCUAACUAGUCAAAUCCUAAGAAUUCAUAUCCUAACUACUCAAAUCAAUCUACUCAACAAAAACCUAUUCCACUUGGAUAGAAGGACGGGAAACGGAAGAGAUUACCUAGUAGCCAACCUUGGGGGAUCAAUCCAAGGAAGAAAUCACCAGAUCUGAAGGAGAUGGGGGAGGGGAUUAGGGAUUGGAAGAGAGCCAACUGCCGCCGUUCCUGUUUCUGUUUGAAUGAGGGAGGGGAAUGGGGAGGGGGUGGGGAGGGGGGCUGGCCCGUGGCCUGUUAAGUCAUUGUGUGGCGCCUAAGCGCUCGGCGCCACACAUUACAAUCUGUGACGCCUGAGGCUUAGACGUCACACGGCCUGGGGGGUGGGCCCUCUCUGCCAGGUGGUUGGGGGGUGUGGCGCCGAAGGGCUAGGCGUCACACACUGUAGUGUGGCGCCUAGGUGUCGGGCGCCACACAAAAGGGUCAGCCGGGUGACAUAUUUUCCCCGAGGGGUCAGUCCGUGAGUUCUUUCCCCCAGGGGUCAUUUUUGUCAAUUUUGCCGUCCUUACAAGCUUCACAUCGUUUUCCUCAUCAGAUCCACUAAAGCUGGAGAUUUCCUCCUGCCUGCUGCCACAACAGGGAGAAGCUUGCCAAGUUCAAUACUUUUUCUCAGAACCUAUAUGGGGCACCGAACCUGCAUCAACGUACAAUCAUGAAAUGGGGGUGCAAAGUGUUAGGUUGAUGUCUCUCGUGUGGGCCCAACGGCUCACCGGGCCAUUGAUCCAUGCGCCCUGAUCGGGGGCGCCCAACCCGUUAUGGUUGGUGGGCCCCUGUGACCUGCGCUAUAAAUAAAGAGGUGGGGGCCGGGGCGCACGGUACGAGGUUCACCGCGCCGCCACACUCCCCACCGAAAUCCCCUUCCGAUCUAGGGUUUAGCGCAGUGCUCACGGGAAGCACCACCUUCGUCUACACCCUUCCCUCGCGUCACCGACGACUUCACCGCACCGAUGGCCGGAGCUGGGAGUUCGACAGGCUCGGGAAUAGGUGAGUGAAAGGGUUACACCGGAUCUAUCAAUGCCUAGUCGAUCUGCGACCUCAACACAAAUAAGAUAUACAUCCACCACUGGCGGACGGUAACGAUGUGGAUCCCAUGCAUGAGGAGUUGCUGAACGAAAUAUACCAAAAAAAACAGCCGGUAGAAGUUCAUAUUAUACCUUGAUGAGCCUGACAUAGGUGUUGUUAGCUCUAAGUAAACACACAUGUAUGAUCAAUAUCAUUCAUCUGGUCCAUGAGAGUCAAUAGAAGUUUCCUAAGAAAACACUAUGGUUUCCGGAUUUUGUUGUUCAGCAUGAAUGUUUCGCGAACCCUUGCUAUUGUCCUAUCAUAGAUGCCGCUGGAGGAAUCUAGGUUGAUACCAAGACCUGGCGAGGGAGGCACUGAAGAACAUGUGCUUGCAAGAGAGGCAAAGAAGCAUCAAGAUGGGGGUAAGAAUGGUGGAAGCAGGCCAAGCAAAGUUGGGCUGACAUAGGAGUAUAUGGAGAGCAUGGAGACUAACCGGCACAAGGUGUUGAAGAUAUGAAACCCCAUGAUCUGAAAGUUGAUGUUUACAUGCAUCAGCUAAAUGCAUGAUCGACUCUCAGACAACCCCUGGUUCUAUGGAAUGAAAACAUCUAUGUUUGCAGUGCUCAAGAAACUAAACUAUAUCAGCUUCACACGCUGGGUUAAUUGAUUUCGUCAAUCAGACGGAUGACACUAAAGGGCAAAGAAGAGUUAUAUGGGAUCUUAUCAAGCUUCAUUUUCAGGAUGAGCUUGAUAAGAUCCCACCCGAACUACAACAAAAUGCAAAUCAAGAGGAGGAAUGAAUGGUCGCCAUCAUCAUCAUUCUCUUUUUCGGUACCAAGAUAAAGGGCUUCAUUUGAAGAGUUAGUUGGCCGGCCUACCGGCCCGCAGAUGUAGAGAAAGAGAUAGAGGUUGCCUCUCUUCUGGAACUGCGAAACCAAAGGGACGCUUGGAAAGAAGGGAACGCACAACUCUUAUCUGGUUCAAAUCCAGUUCGUCCCGGCCACAAAGACUACACCAAACUACACUAACUAUGAGUUUAUGAAAGCAAGAACUACUAAUUGUAAAAAUUACAAUCGAAAGCCCCCCCCCCCCCCGGGCGUUAGAAAACCUGCUAUCGUUUCAUAUAUGCGCUUUAUCCACAUUUGGCAGAUAUUAUAGAUAAACUCAUCAGAAGCAUGUUAAUAGAAUAAAAAGAAAUUAACUAACUCGUCUAGACAUACGAAAAAAGCUAAUACUCUCAGCUAUUUCUAGACCAUCUUGAACAUUUGUCAUCAAACACCAGGUGUAUGACCAAGGAAGACCAGAGUAACUAGAGAGCAAGCUCAUAUUUGCAGACAUGUAUUUAGUUAGAAAUUCAAAGCUACCAUAAUUGAUGCAAUGGGAAUCUUUCCUAUCCCAAUUUCUUGGGAAGGAUGCAUGCGCUAAAUUGCACAGUACAAUAUCACUUAAGAAUAAUGGAACAAAAGGUGCUUAUUCAUUAUUUUUAGAAAAUGAGGAUUACCUUCGACCUCUGCAUCAAUAGACGCAUACAUCCAUUUAUUUAUCAAAAUCCAAAACAGGUCCACAACGAAGUACAGAUAGGAUCCAAUUAAUAAAGAUACAUAGCGCCCCACAAGCCACAACUGGCUGAAAUAGGCCUAGGUGACUAACCACCUACCCUAUUACUGGACCGUCAUCCAAACCGGUUGAAGAUACCCCGAGCUACCAUCUUCCAACGGGCACAGCCAGUAAUCAAAGGCUCCCUGGCUUCCGUAGGAGUGAGUAACGACCACAUACGGAUCAUGGCAGCCCUCUAGAUUACCUGCAAAAAGUUAAUAGAACUUUGUCUGUUAAACACCAAAUCAUUCCUGCAGUUCCAUAUAGCUCAAAGUAAUGCACAUACUCCCAACCAUAUAUGCUUUGCAGUGAUUGUCUCAACCCCUUUUAACCACGCCCCGAAUAACAUGUAUAUUAUUAGGAGAGUUGAUAUUAAAGGCUAUAUGGAGCGAACGCCACAGUAUCCUAGCCAUUGGACAUUCCAAAAAGAGGUGCUUGAUAGUCUCGUUGUUAUCACAAAAGCUGCAUCUUUGACUACAUGCCCAAUUACGUUUUGCCAAAUUG